rnacentral:rRNA from 1 species
AUGGAGGCGAAGAGGUCGAGGCCGGCCGCCCUGUGCAUGCUCCUCCUCCUGGUGCUGCUGCCCGGCGAGGUGGCCGCCAAGUCCAAGUUCUGCAAGUGCUUCGACGACUGCUUCCCCGGGUGCACGAACGACAACGUGCCGCGCUUCCUCUGCAAAGUGUUCUGCGCCAACAAGUGCAGCCCCAACCAGGCCGCCGUCAGUGGCGACGCCAUGUGCAGGAUGGCCUGCAACAAGCUGGACAUCAAAAUCUGCGGCUGGUCAGCGGCGCCGGCCGAUGCAGCUGAUGCGGCCGUCUGCGUGGAGAACUGCAACAAGAAAUGGAGCCAGAAUUAA